CGGUAAGCCUGCUAGCAGACGACUACAUCAGGCAAGAACAGCGGAUCCUCACGUCCUGCCCAAGGACCAUCCAGAAACCCCAGACAUCCCGUCGCCUUCUCGGCUGAGAGCGGCAGAUCAGUUCAUAUUGAGAAAUAGGAGGGGAAAUGUGGAAAUGUUUAUGGGUAAGUAUUACUUCGGUUCCUAAUUCUGCAUGGCUCUUUUUUGCUCUCUCUCUCCCUGCAGUAUGGGUACCCCAGGAGGGAAUAACGGAACGCCUCGUUUCCUUGGGCUAAAAGCCACGAAGAAGGGUUUCUUGUCUUCUGCAGCUACUGACUUUGGGCUGAGCGUUACGGAGUCCCUUUCGCAGCUGCUGGUGAAUUUUAGAUUACCUUCACUGACAGCAACUAAAAACAACUAUAACCCUAAACCCGGUGACUCUAGUUUCCUAGCCAUUGUACAGUAGUUCCCAAACUUCAACGUGCAUCUGAAGCACCUAGCAGGCUGAUUGCUAGGCCCCACUCCAGAGUUUGUGAUUCGUUACAUUUUAACAAGUCCCUAGGUGCUGGCGAUGCCGCUGGUACCGGAUCACACCCUGGGAACCACAGCCUAGAACAACGGAAGUGCCUGUAAAAUAGGUUGUGUGCGUCCGUCCGUGUGUUUAUCAUCAGAAACUGUCCUGCACACCCAGUCUCACAACUCCACUUUUGAUAGCCACCUCAAUAAACAAAACAGUGUAUUAGAAUCCAGCUUUAAGGAGGAGCCCCCGCGACAUCCAUGGCUCUCCAACACCCUCCUCCUCUGGUCCCCUCUUCUCAUUGGCGUGAUCGCCAAGAAAGCCAGAGGAAACCAGGAUUAGGGUGGCGGCGGCGGGACCCGAGUGGCAGACGCGAGAGUAGGACUAAGUCGGCCCCUGGAUCCCUGCGGAGACGGCGAGCAGGGUCCCGCGCCGUGGGAGGGCGCGGAGCCGGUGGCACCAAGACCCGCGCGGCACCGGGACGCGCCCGCCGCUUGCUGCCGCCGCCCCCUGCCGGCCGCCCGGCCCGCACGCCCGCAAUCCCCGCCGUGGCCAGGACUCUAGGUUUCCGGCGGCGCGCGGCACAGGACGUUUCCAGCCCCGGCCCAUAUUUGGUGAAAGUCUUUUAAGACUCCGUCAUCCAGCUCCGGGGGGCGGCGGCGGCGGUCCUGGGAGCGAGCUGGGCAACCGCACGGCCGUCGUCGCGUUCCUGAAAAGUGCGCCGCGGCCGCCCACACCCAGGCCUCGGGCCGCGCGGGACCCGGAGCUUGGCGGGCGCGCGGGCCUGCAAGCAGCCUGCGGGAUCGCGGCCGCCUCACUUCAACCCGCACCCCUGGGAGAUUCGAAGGCGGCCCCGCGCUGCGUGGGAGGCUGGCGCGGAGGGCGCCUCGGCUAGAUUGUGUCACUUUUCCCGUCCACCCCGCUGUUGACUCGUCCUCCCAGCGGGGCAGCGAGUUGCCGCUCUGUGCCAGACUUAGAGGGUACGCCCAGGCGGCGGGGGCGGAGGGUGGCGUUGGCUCAGAUACGGAGUGACCCCAGCAGGGAUGUGGAGUCGCUCUGGGGAAAAGCUCCAAAAGGGCCCGGGUUCUAUUCUCUUGGAAGGAAUAUAAACUAGAGGGAUACAUGCUUUUUUUCCUCCAGGUCUUCCACAACCCUUUCCUCUCUUCCUCCUCAGUUCCCUAUAGCCUUGGGUAAGCUGCUCACCCUCUCUGAAUCUUGUGGGCUUCAGCACCAUUUUGAAGAUGUGCUGUAUAUUGACUCUAAUUGUCCCCUGCCUCAUUGAGGCAGGUCCUCUUGCUAACAUCAUUUUCUACCUAAAUGAGGAAAUGGAGGCUCAGAAAAUAAGAGUCUACUUAGAAGUCACUCAGCAGAUUGCAGAAGUGGAUUUGACCCAAUACAUCUUGGUUUAAACAGGUCGGGCACUAAACCACUGGUCUGUAUAGCCUUCUCUCUCUUACCUCAGAUAUUCAGGCCUGUCCCUUCUCGUGGAAUUUUCCCUUUAUUUAACUUUAUCACAAUUUGCCCGGGUAGUUUAGGAGAAAUGCUUCAGCUAGAAAAAUAGUUGAUUAAUUAACUGAAGCUGCUAAUCCCUAAGUAUUGCCUAUUGUAGUGGGGGAAUGGGUUUCCAUUUUAACAGAAAAAGCCUUCAUACAAACAGGUUUACAGAGUGAACUUUUAGGCACCUUGGCAGGCUAGUGGAAAAUAGGACCUUAGGAGUUCUUCUGAUACCUCCUAAGCUAUAUUGAACAGACAGUCUCUACUUCUGGAGUAAGAUUUGUCCUGGUGGAGACUAACUGCGUUCAUAACUGAGCUAAAAUUUCUGAGUCAUGCACUUGAUGGUUUAUCAGUCUCAGUAAAGGAUAAGAGUCAGCUUUUAACCGGUUCCCACCACCACCACCACCAUCACCAAACUGUAUGUUAUGAGUGCAGUUACAUUUAUGUUUGAGGACAGAUUUUUUGGGGGGGAGGAUUGGGAUGGGGAAUUGAACCCAGGAACACUGCACCACCAAUCCACAUCCCCAGCCUAUUUUAUUUUUAUUUUGAGAUAGAGUCUUGCUGAAUUCCUCAGGGCCUUGCUAAGUUGCUGAAGCUGGCUUUCAACUUGUGAUCCCCUUGCCUCAUUCUCCUGAGUCACUGAGCUCACAGGCAUGCAUCCCGGCUGGUUCUGAGGACAGAUUCUUUAUCUUCUGAACCCCAGAUUUAUUCAAAGCUCAUGAUAUGUUGUGACACAGUGCUAGGCAUUGUUGACAUAAAAAAAAAGGGCUUUAAACAUUGAACUUGCCUGGGGGACUUCGAGGUCUGUUGAAAAAGUGGGUACAGUGUAUUGUGUGUGCUUCACUGCCUGAAGAGUUCGGGUGGAACUACAUAUCUGGAUCUACAUCUCAUCUGAUAGCAGGCAAGAACAUUUAGGAAAGAGGGAAUAGAGCCUUGAUAGGUCUAAUGUGGCUGGACAAUAGGAUUCUUCUGGAGUACUGGCAAGAGAAGUCAGCUGAGACCUUCUGCAAAUGGCCUAGCCUGUCAUGACACUGGGACUUUGCCUGUAGGCAGUGAUGAACCAUAUGAGCUUUUUGCCUUGUCUUCUUCAUCUAUAAGAUAAUGGGAUUGUUCCAGCUCAGGAGACACACACACAAGUUCAUGAAGGAUUAAGCUCCAUAUUGAAAUACAUGCCUGGCGAUUAGUGCCAACUGAAACUUGGUCUAGAUGUUGGGCACCAUGGGGGGAGGGGGUAAGUGGUUGCCAGGUGAAAAUAUAGGCCUGUCUUCUCUUUUUAAGAAGAAAUAACAGAGAUCUGGAUUUUUUUUGUGGAGUCUUCAAAUUUUUAAAAUAUUGGCAAUUAAAAUGUUAAAAUACUAUCUAGGCUGAUAGGUAGAAAACAGUAUCUGGAUUGCCAGUUGUGAUCUCCAGGGGGCAUAUCUAAAAGAAUCUAUCCUGCUCCAGCCUUUUGAAACUCCUGGUCACCUGGUGUCCAUUUAAUUGCCAGUUGGAAUAGACUUUAUUAAAGAAUCAGAGCUUCCACCUAGCUCUUGUCAACCAAAUUGGAAAAGGUGUCUUUUUCUUAUUUUUACUUUAUCCACUCCCCAAAUAAUACUCAGUCUGUCUUCUUCCUCUCCCCCUGAAUUAGUGUUUGGCAGCAUGAUAGGAAACACCUUUAAAAAAAAUUUUUUUUAGGGCAUCUGUAUCCAAUGGGAACUGUGUCUGUUUAUUUCCUCCACCUGGCAUCUGUCCACAGGAAGCCAGGCAUUUAUACCUAAAUCCCUUACCUUACAGAACUUCUUGUCUUGUGAUAACACAGAAACAUUUCACUGGAAAGAACUGGAAGGCACCUCUCCCACCCCACCCUGCAAUCCAUCUUCUAGAUCUGAUUGAGCAAUAUAAAAUUCACUAAUUAUAAGUCACUAUCAAGUAGAUUGGCUCCAUCAGGGAAUCAAGAAUUAACCACUAGCUCUUGUGUUGCUUAUUUCUGAGAGACCUGUCUCUUAAUCACCCACUUACAACCACACAUACCACAUUCAAAAUAUAGAAAGGAUUUGAUUUGGGCACAGAAGAUGAGCACACAGAUUCUACAGAGAAAUUGAUGCCAUUUAUCUGUGCUAGCUUUUUGCAGGUUUGACAGGGAGGAAAUCUAGCAAUUGGGCUGACAACAGUAAUAAGACAUAAGAUUCUUUUAACAUUCAGCACGAUGCCUGACACAUAGUAAGUGCUUAAUAAACUGUAAUGACUCCUACUGCUAAGCAACAUCAUUACCUUAAAUUUUAC
rnacentral:lncRNA from 1 species